rnacentral:rRNA from 1 species
AACGUAGGGGGCGAGCGUUAUCCGGAAUCACUGGGUGUAAAGGGUACGCAGGCGGAUUUGUAAGUUGGAUGUAAAAACUCAGGGCUCAACCUUGGGCUUGCAUCCAAGACUACAAGUCUAGAGAGCAGGAGAGGGGAGUGGAAUUCCCGGUGUAGGGGUAAAAUCCGUAGAUAUCGGGAGGAACACCAAUGGCGAAGGCAGCUCCCUGGCCUGUCUCUGACGCUCAGGUACGAAAGCGUGGGGAGCAAACAGGAUUAGAUACCCUGGUAGUCCACGCCCUAAACGAUGGGUGCUUGGUGUUGGGGGGUAAUUCCCUCAGUGCCGUAGCUAACGCGUUAAG